rnacentral:rRNA from 1 species
CAAAAACAUUUCUUUUUGGGUUAAUUGAAAGUAUUGCCUGCUCGAUGUGAAAAUGAAUGGCCGCGGUAUAUUGACCGUGCGAAGGUAGCAUAAUAAAUAGUUCUUUAAUUGGGGGCUGGAAUGAAAGGUGGAAUGAGAUACUAACUUUCUUUUUCGUAAAAUGUUGAGAUUUACUUUUUAGUGAAGAGGCUGAAAUUAAGUUAUUAGACGAGAAGACCCUAUUAAGCUUGAUAACAUAAUUGAUGAUUUUUGAUUGUUGUAUUGAGAUUAAUUGUAUGAUUGUUGUUUUGUUGGGGCAAUGAUGAAAAAUUUGAAAAUUUUUAUUUGUAGUGGGUAAUGAUGAUCCGUUAUUAAUGAUUAUAAGAAUAAGUUACUGUAGGGAUAACAGCGUGAUGGCUUUGGAGAGUUCUUAUCGAUAAGGCAGUUUGCGACCUCGAUGUUGGUUUAUUGAGUCUAUAGGGUGAAGGAGCUUUAUAAGAG